rnacentral:lncRNA from 1 species
GCCGCGUGGUCUCUCACGCAGGGGCGCCGGGCGGGGGAACGCGGCCACCCUGAGUCUGGUGGAAGAUGGAUGCCUGAAGUGUAGACUGCUGCUAGCUGAAUACCAUCUGGGAGCAUAAAGGUGACCUGAAGGAUGUCCUUGGUGAGGAUUUUGAAAAUUUGAUCUUCACAAGAGUUGCCUGGAUCAUUUGAAAUUUCUGGGAGUCUGAGGAGUACUGACAUAAUUACCUGCUGGAGUCUGUAAAUACACAUUUAAGACAGUGAGGAUGUGAAUAAAUAUAUUAAUGCACUUU